UGUUAAACUGCGGGUCAUGUCACAAAGCUUUGGCAAAAGCUAUGAUUUUUGUAGAGGUUGUGACAAUUGUGGUAGCUCAGGUUGGAUCAAGAUAUUUGGAGAAGGGACUAAACUCACUGUAUCUCCCCCUGGUAAAAGCUUUAACAACGGUAUUUCCGCCAAGCCCACCAUUUUUCUCCCUUCUGUGACUGAAACAAAUCUCUAUAAGGCUGGGACAUAUCUUUGUCUUCUGGAGAAUUUUUUCCCUGAUGUUAUUAAAGUAUAUUGGAAGAGAACAGAUGACAAUAAGAUUCUGGAAUCCCAGCAGGGAGAUACCAUGAAAACUAACAACACCUACAUGAAGUUUAGCUGGUUAACUGUAACUACAGAUUUUAUGACUAAAGAGCACAAAUGUAUAGUCAAACACGAGGCUAAUGGAGGAGUUGAUCAAGAGAUCCUCUUUGAUCCCAUAAAAGAAGUUGUCACUACUGAUUCUGAAGUUUGUUUCAAACAUGAAACUGGUUUGCUACCCCUGCAGCUCACCGGCACCUCUGCCUACUACACCUACCUCCCGUUGCUGUUCAAGAGCGCCAUCCACGGGGCCCUGGUCACCUUCUGCCUGCUUAGAGGGUCCUCGGUCUGCUGUGAUGGGAAGAGGGCCUGACGAACGGAGGCGGAAGUGUCUCCAACGUUUCCAGUUCCCAGCAGCACCUGCUGAGGGUCUGGCCGGCUUGCAUAGCUUGGCCUCCUGAAGUACACUUGCCCAUCAUUUUGUGGUUAUCAUCACCAGCGCGCAAACGCCGCGACUUUCCGCUGCCCCAAGAUGCAGCCCGCACCGCCUGAGCCGCGUCUCCCCAUGACCUCCACAGCCCCUCCAGCCAGCCAGGCCCUCGCACCCUCGAUGUGCACUGCUCCUGCUUCUGGUCGGGGCUCCGCAACCAUGCACCGCGGCACUCCGGAAGCCUCCGCUCUACCCACCCAGACAACGGCCUUGUUUGCCAUUGAACUGCGCUGUUUUUCAUAGUAGACACAAUGCAUUAAAAACGUCAUCACAA